CCCGCCGGCCCGUGGACGCGCUUGGCGCUCGCCUCCGCAGGCUGGCCGGUCUCUUGGAGACCGACGCGGCGCCGGAGGAGGAGCCGGGCCCAGCCGAGGCGCAGCGCCCGUGCGCCCUGGGCGCGCCAGCCGGGCACCACCAGGACGCGGCGCUGGACCAACCUGAAUCCGCCUUUUCCCAACUCUGGUAGCAGGACAAUCUGUCUCCCGUUUCCCCUCCGAUUCUUGCUUGUGAAGAGAUGAUCUAGAUCGCGUUGCAGUCCAGCCAACAAAGGGGUGCAGCUUGUCCUGGGCACAGCAGAAACACCCGACCUCUUCGGCACGUUCUCUCCAUGGCAGCAGAUACAUUUGGUGGCCAUUUCAGCAGCACCCGACUGUAGGUGGCUCCCAUUUUCCGAGCAAGAAGCUGGGCCAGGUUGCAGGAUACAUUGCUAGCCGGAUGCUUCCCCUCUGGCCGGAAAAAGCUGGCAAGCAAAGUGGACGGUGUCUAGUUUUCUCUUUCCAGUUUCACGUUUUCCAGUCCCAGAAGACCAGGAAAUUGGGUGGGAUUACAAGGAGGGAAGCCACAUUGUAGGCCUGAAGCUGACGAGCAAGCUCCAAAAGGAAGGCCGGGUGCAGGGGUCUGGGACCCCCGGAAAGAGAAGGCCGAGAAGCCAAAGGACAGAUGAGGAAGUGCUGUCUUUUGUGUCAAGAGAAGCCUUCAGUUUCCCUUUGGAACAGGAAACAGGAAACUGGUCGUGUGGACCUUGUGAAUUUGGGAGGAUCAGGUGGGACCCUCCCAGUCCUCGGGGCCAGGAAGCCAGGAGAAUAUCGGUCUCCUCGGUUUUGCUGCUCAGGCCAAGCCUUUGAGAAGGAUUAUUCCCUGCCACAAGCACAACCCUCAGCGGGCAGCUCUGGCUGGCAGGGAGUCAUGGCGUUCUUGCCACACCGCCGUGUCUGAAGGGGUCUCCCUCCUGCCUCAGAACCAGGCUCUUCUCCAGGCCCCUGGCGCCUGCUAGCCAGCGGCAAGCUAGCCCUCACCCCGGGAAGCCUGCAGAGAUGAGCGGCCGGCCCCCCCUGGCAGAAAAGGCGCUCUCGGAGCGAUACGCCCGCCUCCGGUACAGAGACGCUUCGCUGCUGAUCUGGCAGCAGCAGCAGCAGAAACUGGAGACGUUGGGCCCAGGGUCGUACCUCAGCAGGAGCCACAGCAUGUGGUACACACAGUACGGCAACCAGGCCAUCCUGGUGCGGGAGAAAAACAAGCUGGACAUCUCCAGGGAUACGGGGCAGUCCAAAUUUUGCACCGUGAUGUAGCCUCGGUGCCAAGGGAGAGGCAGCCGGCACGGGACGGCCACCCCCACCGCUUUCCAAAAUGUCCUGCCGACGGUUUGGUUGUGUUUACUUUUUCUGGAGGACCCUGAAGAUGUACCUGUUUCCCCAGGCCUUCAACUGAGAACACAAUGUUUGAAUUUUGAUGUGUUUUUAUUAUGAUUUUCUCUUCAUGAAUUUUAAAUGUCUUAUAGCUUAUAUUAGGUUUUAAUUCUGUACACCGCCUAGAGAUUUCGAUAUUGGGCAGUCUAUAAAUUCGACAGACAGACAGAGAGAUAAGGAAAGCAAGCUUCUGGCCCCCAGAUCUGCAGAACAGGCAACUUCCAGGCUUGGAAACCAACACUAUGGCGAACGUCCUCUGCUCAGCAGGGCAUGAAUGUACAGAGAGCUGCGUAACAGCUGUGUGCAGCGAGCUGGAGCAUCUUUGGGCUCCCGGUCCAAAGACGCAGAGUGCAGCACUGGAAAUCCGCAGAAUUCAGCUUCCUGGGAUGUCGUAGUUUGUCACAGCCCUCAUCUGCUUUCCACUGAGUCAGACAACUAGUCCGGCGUGGCAUCGUGGUUCAAAUGCUGGGCUGUAAGUGGAGUGUGUGUGUGUGUGUGUGUGUGCUUGAAAAAGCAAAGCCUUCAAUUACUACUCUAAGUGCUGCUGCUUUACUAUUUGAUCGCUGUUCUGAAGUUGUAAGAGAAUGCCGCCUUCUUCAUCAACCCCACCGCUUAUUAAGAUUUAUUUUAUUUUAUUUUUAUUUAUUUUACAUUUUCUAUCCCGCUCUUCCUCCAAGAAGCCCAGAGCGGUGUACUACAUACUUGUGUUUCUCUUUCACAACAACCCUGUGAGGUAGGUGAGGCUGAGAGAGAAGCGACUGGCCCAGAGUCACCCAGCAAGUCUCAUGGCUGAAGGGGGAUUUGAACUCGGGUCCUAGUCCAGCACUCUAACCACUACACCACGCUGGCUCAGACCAUCUGAGGAGGUUUGGUUGUGGCUGCCACCGGCUCAGUUGGUGGCGACUCGAAACCGGGCCUUUUCUAGAGUUGUACCAGGACUCCGGAACACCCUUCCUAACAAAAUUAGUUUUUCCCCUGCUCUGAAUGUUUUUAAGAAGGACCUGGAAAUAUAUCUCUUUAAGUCAGGCUUUUAGUUUAUGGUUUUAAAGCUUCGGGUUUUAAUUUUUUCCAUUUGUAUUUUUAAAUGGUUUUGGUUGCGUCAAUGUUUUGGUGGUGUUUAGAUUGUGAACUGCCCAGGGACUUUUUUUUGUUUGGCGCGGUAUAUAGGGUUGCCAGAUUCUGACUUUCCAAAUCUGGGAGCCUAAUUUGCAUAGUAUGUAAGUAAAUGGGCUUGAAAACAAUUUCUGAGCAGAAGGGGGGCGGCACGUUUUGCUCCAGAACUUCGCUUCUGCAAGGACUGGAGCUUAGCUUUUUGUUGUUGUUGUUAAAUGAAAGCUGGAAUCUGGGCAAAUCCGGGUGGACUCAGCAAUCUGGGUGAAAGGCUUAAAAUCCGGGUGAAACUCGGAAUUCCGGAGGGGGGGGGGCCUGGCAACUCUUGGGGUUAUAGAAAUGUGAGAAAUAAAAAAUAAAUAAAACAAUAUGCACAUGCUGCAUGGCCUAGGUGUUGAGUGUUGGGCGUAAUAAAAGCCACAUGCAAAGCCUUGAGCUUAA